rnacentral:lncRNA from 1 species
AUGCCUGAAAAGCCACUUCCACUGGGGAAAGCAUUACAACAAAAGAAGGAAGAAGAAAACCCUUAUCUGGGCAUAAUGAGCCAUAAAGCAGCCCUGGAGCUCUGGGUUCCUGUGGUGCCCCAUGAAGAGCAGGAGGGACAGUGGCUGUACCAGGAAAGCCUCCUCCAGCUACAGCCAUCUUCCUCCUUGUCAACAGCAGCACUGAAGCUAGAAAACCUGGCUCUGUGGUGUUGGGGUAUAGGAUCCAUUUUGCUGCCUCCUGCAGCUGCCCACUCUAGGCAACUGCCUAGUUUCCUAGCCCUGACUGCAGAAAUAGCAUCAACCCUUUGAAUCAGAAUGGAAUCCAUUAUUGCAACACUAGUUCUGACGUUUGUCAUAAAGGCAGCUUCCCUAGCCUGAGAGCAGUGCCUUCCUGUGUGUGCCAACCAGCAGGCACUAACCUCAUGCCAAGCAAAGAUACCAUUCAUACCAAAACAGUAUUUUAAAAUAUGUGGAAACAACAUUCUUACUAUUGCCUUUAUCAUUUACGACAGGAAGAGCUUUAAUAUACGGGUAAAUUUCAAUUUGGAGAAAUCAAUAGUCUUAAAUAAUAAGUAAGAUUUCAGGUCUUUCCAUCACAAUGCAAAAUAGCCUACCAUUAACUUUACAAAUGAGAAUCAAGUUAAAAGGCUUCUAGCAAAUUACCAGUGAAUCACCAGAAUUUGCUUCAGGCAGAGAUAUUAGUCCUAAAUUGUUGCCAGUGAUAUAUAGCUUCAGCUUUUUCUUUAUUGCUAAUUUGCACUGGUUUCUCAUAUUUUUUUUCUAACGGAUCAUUACAUGAGCCAGAUAAUUUGUACUGCUGCCAAUAACUGUCUCAAGGUAAGGCUGUUUAGGUAGACCAAGAAGAAUGCACGUCGAGAGAGCCUUCUAAAAGAAUUCCAAAUUAAAGCAUUGUUACAAAAAAAAUAGGAAUCAACAGGAUAGAAAGCUAUGUACUGAAGUAUCUGGUUCCAAAAAUCAAGGCCCUCACAAAUAAAAUACUAUCUUAAUAACA